AAAGUCCUGAUGUGUUAGUUGUACACCUAGUUUUGACCUAACAUUUUUUCUACGGGAGCUUGUGUUUCUUGACAGAGUAAAUGCCUCUCUAACUCGUUAAAGAGGACUUACAACCUCUAAGAAUAAAGCACCCACCUGCUAAGGGCGGGAUCAAAACGAGGGAAACGGCGACGGCACGAUUGGGACUACU
rnacentral:other from 2 species